AGAAAGAGAAGAACGAGAGAGACGGAAGAAAGAUGGAGGGGAAAAGAGAAAGGAGAGAGAGACAUCAAAGGAGAGGAAAUGAAAGCUAAAUGUACCAUCAGCAUAAUUUCAUACUUCAGUAGAAAUGAGGCCAAUGCGGAGGUGAAGGUUUACAGCUGACCAUCUGACCUGAGGUCACAACCACUUCUGUCCAGCUGAAUGACCCAACUCACCUGGUCAGCCCAUCCCCUGCACACACACCUGUCCCACCUGGUACACCUGUCUACCAACCCAACACACACCUGUCCCACCUGGUACACCUGUCUACCAACCCAACACACACCUGUCCCACCUGGUACACCUGUCUACCAACCCAACACACACCUGUCCCACCUGGUACACCUGUCUACCAACCCAACACACACCUGUCUGGCCCUUGGAGCAGACUCUGAUCUGCACACCAUCCGCUAGUGGGGGUGUGUGUAUUGAUGGAUCAGGAUGUCAACCAAUAACAACAUCGCCCAGGCCAGGAAACUGGUGGAACAACUGAGGAUCGAGGCAGGGAUCGAACGUAUUAAGGUGUCCAAGGCAGCGGCAGACCUGAUGAGUUACUGUGAGCAGCACGCCCGUAACGACCCGCUCCUCGUUGGCGUCCCAACGUCAGAAAACCCUUUCAAAGACAAGAAACCCUGCAUCAUCCUAUAGCUGCACACUCGUCUCUGCCCAUCAGACACACACACACCUCUGCCCACACACACACCUCUGCCCACACGCACACUCCCACCGGCUGACUCUGCAACAGCCAACAAGGCCCAGCUCUGUCAAGCUAUACAUACCACACACACACACACACACACACACACACACACACACACACACACACACACACACACACACACACACACACACACACACACACACACACACACACACACACACAAGAAACGAAAUAGCCACUCUGGAAAAGCGCCAUACUCAAUAGCCACAGCUAGGGGGCGGUGUCUGUGUUUACAGACCACAUUACCACAUUAGUGAUAUUAGCCCUGAGUUGUGUCUCUGUGGUGCUGAGGGUAAGCCUGCACUAACAUGCAGCCCUACCUGAUACUGGUUACUUACUCACCCACAGAGAUAGUGACACUCAAGUGGAGAUGGCAGAUUUAAUUGAAAAAGGGAUUAGGACAAUUAUCUUAAUAGGAAUCCACAGUCGCCUACAUGAAGUCAUAGGCUGAUGUAUAGCAUGUAUUUUAGUGAAUCUAUGAUUUGUUGAUUCAUUGAUUAAUCGAUUGAUUGAUCGCAUGUAUCUGUGUGCUGUGGAGUGAGGGGUAUAAGGUACAUGAGGGUAAGGAGUGAGGUGGGGGUGUAUGUGUGACCAAUCUGGUGUAAAACCUGGGUCGUCCGUGUGAUACAAGAUGUGUUAGCCCUCUCAGCUAAAGCCUAGCCAUUAGCCGUGGAAGCUAAUACAAGUCUUCAGGUCUCAGGCAUGGUUACCCAUCACUAAACCACUGUGGCUAUACACGGUGUGUUUGUUAGCCAUAUAGUGGCUGACUUGCCACUGACUUGCUAAGUAUCACAAUGGGGAUGGCCCCUUCCUGAAACCUUGGGUCAACGGUAAUGUCAGUGUUUCCACAAGACAUUGUGUUUUUGUGAACAUGGCAUUGAAACACUGAGCAGGUUGGUGGUACAUGCUGCAUAUGUACCCACUGUGUUUAAACCCGGAUCAUCUGCAAUGCCACAAGACUGUGUUAGCCCACUGAGCUAAAGCAUAGGCUACAUACACUCCCACUCUAGCGACGGUUAUCGAUCAACAGUGUUACUGCUUUGGUUUUGAGUUCUUGGUCAGUGGGUUUUCUAUAGGCCAAAACUCCAGCUGUGUCGAUUUGUGGAUUAAGUUGCCCCUAUAUACUGAUCUAAGAUCAGUCUUGUGUUUUCCCUCUAAUGGUAAAGGUUAGGAUUUAGAGAGGGUAUUAUGAUGCUAGAUCUGUGUCUAAAAGGCUGCGUUUACACAGGCAGCCUAAUUCAGAUCUUUGUCCACUAAUUGGUCUUUUGACCAAUCAAAUCAGCUCUUUUUCCAAUAAUAAGGCUAAAGAUCAGAAUUUUGCUGCCUGUGUAAACUCAGCCUAAUGAAACUUCUUUCUUGAGUACUGACGAGUACUGAGAGGCUAACUGUGUUCAAGUUUUUAACCCCAGAAGUAUAUAUAUAUGUUUUUUAAUUAAUUAUCGUUUCAAUAUUUUGUCAAUUUAUUGCCAUACACUUAGCAGAUACUGUAGGUUUCCAUUCACUCCUUAACUUACACUUGAGGCAAAAGUUUACCUUAACCACAGAUCUAGGAUCAGAUUAUCAUCCCCAAUCUUAACUUGAACCAUAAGGGGGGUGUACAAAUAUCUGAUCCUAUAUCAGUGGUUAGAUACAUCACUAGUUCUGCCAAUGAGAGCAAGCAUCACAUCAUGGGCUUUGCUUAUUGGCUCAUCGUGUGUUCUAUUGAGGAACAGGAGCAAAUUACAAAGUGGUGUCCCGUGUCCCCACCUCCACAGUCCUAUUCCUCUACUCCCAAACCAAACUUGAUUGUAAAAAAUGUAAAAGACACUAGAGAAAAUAAAAACAAAAGUGUAUAAACUUUCUUUAAGCCAUGUGCAGAAGUGAUACGUUUUGAGAGUAGCUGUUUUGGGUUUGGUUUGAGUUUCUUUCUAAAUGGAAGCAGGUCAGUCGAGUAUUAUUAUCCAACUGUACAGUGUUUGUAAGAUAAAACCUAGGCCAGAAUUCAAUCAAAGUGCAUUAAACUUUUUCCACCAAAAAAAACAAAAUGCGCUUUAAUUGAAUGUCAGCCUGUUGCAGAAUCUUUUCUGUGGACGUUCAAUUUUUGCGUAAAUAUUUCCCUUCUGAUAGAAUUUAUUCUGUUUCCUCAUUCAGCUUGAGGCAGGUUCACACACACACACACACACACACACACACACACACACACACACACACACACACACACACACACACACACACACACACACACACACACACACACACACACACACACACACACACACACACACACACACACACACACACACACACACACAAUCCCCUAGUGACUAAAUGGGGAGCCAACCACAUCUACAAAGCAGUGAAGUGGCCGUACUCAUAGCAUAGCUUCUUAUACACAGGCUAAGCACUGUGAGAAACAAACUUGAACCAUUAAAACACUGUCUCUCUCUCUCACACACAGAGAGAGAGAGAGAGACAUACAGAGAGAGAGACAGACAGACAGACAGACAGACAGACAGACAGACAGACAGACAGACAGACAGACAGACAGACAGUUUCCUAAUGUCUUUUAAAAGUGAUUAUCUGAGGGAGAAUAUUGUUAUUUCUUAAUUCAUUCAUUCCACGGACGGUUAUUUUGAUUGAUUGGUUGUUUGAUUGAUUGGUUGUUUGAUUGAUUGGUUGUUUGAUUGAUUGGUUGAUUGAGUGAUUGGUUGAUUGAUUGAUUGGUUGUUUGAUUGAUUGGUUGAUUGAUUGAUUGGUUGUUUGAUUGAUUGGUUGUUUGAUUGAUUGGUUGAUUGAUUGAUUGGUUGUUUGAUUGAUUGAUUGAUUGAUUGAUUGGUUGUUUGAUUGAUUGGUUGUUUGAUUGAUUGGUUGAUUGAUGGUUUGCCUUGUUGUGGUGUAUUGUGUUGUAUGCUGGUUAGGACCAGGAGUUUUACCUGGUCAGGUCACAUUGGUCAGGAACAACAUUCUAGCCCUAGACUUGAGAAUAGUUGAGAGUAUUUGAGUGAACAGUCUUAAAAGAAGACACAAAGCUCCACAAUGGAAGUCUUGUGGUGCUCCCAUUCCCACAUCAUUCACUAUAGCUGAUCUAGGUCAGUUUAAAGUGUUCUCCCCCUAAAGAUUAGGUCAGGAUUUGGGGAAUGGAAUCUGAUCCUAGAUCUUACCCAGUGCAGAACGCUAGAACCCUAAAACGAAUUUCUGUCCCUAGACACUGACCUCGGGUCAGUUUUACCUGGACUCAUCAUUGUGUUUUUUUAUCUCCUGUGUAUGCAUAUACAGUAUGUAUCUCUGGUAACGCUUUGUUUUGCGGUCCCCUUUAACUUGGUAUUUGCUUAGAAAUAACACGGUAAAAACAUUUGUUUCAUUGCAAGCGAGGACUAUUUGGUACCAGGUUGAAAGUCCCCAUUGUUACCACAAUGUGUUAAUUCCAGCUGGGACAGGACUGUGACGUAAAGCACUACCGUAUCUUUUUGCCUUGAUUAAUUGUGAAUGAUCAGUUAUAGAUUAUGAAGGAAAUAUAAUAUCUAUUUUUUUGUAUCUGGUCGCUCUGAUGUGCCAUAACUCAUGUUUUCUUGCACACUUGUUCAUAUUUUACAGUUAAAUACUUUACUGUUAAGACUUUACUGUUCAUAUUUUACAGUUAAAUACUUUACUGUUAAGACUUUACUGUUCAUAUUUUACAGUUAAAUACUUUACUGUUAAGACUUUACUGUUCAUAUUUUUGUGGAUAUUGCUGUUAAAAAAAAGAUGAUAUUGAAAAAGUAGACAACAUUAAUAAAAAUAUAAUAACA
rnacentral:lncRNA from 1 species